UAAGCCCAGAUGCAUCUUUGAAAAAGUCCC
rnacentral:piRNA from 1 species